UACGUAGGGGGCAAGCGUUGUCCGGAAUCAUUGGGCGUAAAGCGCGUGUAGGCGGCUCGAUAAGUCUGCUGUGAAAGUCCAAGGCUCAACCUUGGGAUGCCGGUGGAUACUGUCGAGCUCGAGUCCGGAAGAGGAGUGUGGAAUUCCUGGUGUAGCGGUGAAAUGCGCAGAUAUCAGGAGGAACACCGAUGGCGAAGGCAGGUCUCUGGGCCAUUACUGACACUGAGAAGCGAAAGCAUGGGGAGCGAACAGG
rnacentral:rRNA from 1 species